UACGUAGGGUGCGAGCGUUGUCCGGAAUUAUUGGGCGUAAAGGGCUCGUAGGCGGUUUGUCGCGUCGGGAGUGAAAACUCAGGGCUUAACCCUGAGCCUGCUUCCGAUACGGGGCAGACUAGAGGUAUGCAGGGGGAGAACGGAAUUCCUGGUGUAGCGGGUGAAAAUGCGCAGAUAUCAGGAGGAACACCGGUGGCGAAGGCGGUUCUCUGGGCAUUACCUGACGCUGAGGAGCGAAAGUGUGGGGAGCGAACAGG
rnacentral:rRNA from 1 species